rnacentral:lncRNA from 1 species
CUGUUUUCAAUAACUUGGUUUUCAUAGCAAAUCUGAGAGACUGUUAACCGUUUGACUCCUGUCUCAAUCUAACCUAGUGGGUUCAAAAAGAAGGGACCGUGCUGGAAACAUGAGUGGAUUAAAAGGAUCAGCCCUUUUUGAAUUAAUAUUCGAAGUGGUAACCAGCUAGAAGUCGUAACCUGCUCGUAUGAAAUGAUUUCUCAACGUGAAUUUGUUAAUUUUAUUCAACAACGCCAAGAAACAGAGCUCGCUCAAGAAACAGAAAAGAAAG